GUCUUUGAACUUUAGUGGUUAUUUUAGUAAUGUUCUUGAACUUCAAUUUAUAUCACCAAAAUCCUCAAACUUUAAUUUAUCAUACGUAAAGUCCCUAAGGCCGUUUUCCAAUAGAAUCUCAGGCGAGAUGCUGAUGUAUACGUGCCAAGCUAGAUUUAUAACAAAAAAAAUAUUUCAUUUGAUCACUUCAAUUUCCAUUACUUCGCAAGCUAAUAUGAAGGAAUGAGGGCAGAUUCCUCAUCAGCAGAAGAUUUAGAGCUA
rnacentral:misc_RNA from 1 species